AGUGUCCCCUGGGUUCAGAGCAGGCCUGUCCCCGCCCAACAGGCUGAGGCGCGGGGAGAGUGGCCGGUCUCUCAUCAAGCCAGUGCUGCCGAGUCUGAGUCUGGAACACCAGCGGAGGGACCAAGUCAUUCACUCUAAUGACUGGAAUUUCACCACCAUAAACCAGCAGGAGGGCUGAUCCGGUGCAGAUCAGCGAAAGUGGCAUCAAAACGUCGGGCAGCUGGUUAGCAGGGAUGCACAGAUGUUUGUUUCCUCCUCCUGAGAACUGCCUCUCAGCCUCCUCAAAACAGUAUUCCUGCAUUUCCUUUGUCAGCCCGGGGGUGGGUCCCUGGGCUGGAGGCCAGCUUUGGGCCCCUCCACGUGUCACAGUCCCGCUGCCCCUGCUCGGUAAUCCCGGGUAAAUCCCGAGCCUUCCCCCGGUCAGGAAACACACCCGAGACCUGAUUACACAAGAUGCAGGAGGAGCUCUGAGCAGAGAUGAAAUGUGGGGAUCGGCCACGUCGUCAUUCGUCAUCCUGUCUCAGCAAGUUCGUUUGCAGAGAGUAACUUGACAGUCCUUUCAGAAUUUGGAACAGCCCCACAUCAUGUGCCCUAGAGGGAGGUAUUAAUGGAUGAGGCGGCAGCCCUGUGGUUCACUUAAUUAAAAUCACUUGUUCCUGCAAUACUUAUGGGUUAAGCACUCAUCCUGCAAUUCCUGCGCCCAGGGCAGGGCUGGAGGGGGUCCUGGGCUCUCUCUGCAGGCGCUGUUUCACACUUGGGCUCCCCACAUGCUCGGGACACGUGGUGCUUCAAGUCUCCGUGUUCACGCCUGCACGUGAGCGCGUUGUGCGCUGGGAGUGGCUUCACAGAAAUGCGUCCAGGCCUGAGCUAAACGUGGCCGCCCCUGGCCCCUGGGGGAGCCUGGCCCCGGCCCAGCGUCUGUCCUUCACUGAACACAGUGGGCCGUGCCCAGAUCGCGGAAUAAGAGGCCACAGGAGAGAUGCAGGACAUCCGACUGGUCCAGCCACCUCCUUGCAUGUGGGGCAGAUGUGGAAAUUUCAUCAGGGAGAAAAGAAAUCACUUGCUCCAAAGCCCCGCGUCCAGAAUUCUGUUUCCCUGGAAAUAUGCCCAGGAUGGGGAUUUUCAUGCCUAUGGGAAGUUGCAUUGUUGGGCCUCAUUGUCCUAAUUCUUCACCCUCCCUUCCCUGGAUCCUUGCCCUUUGUCACGUGACUUUGUAGGUUUCCCCUCUAGAUGUGGAGUCUCUUGUCUCGUUGAGGUUGGAUUUGGUUAUGUGAUUUGCUCUGCCUGAUGGGAUGUGGGCAGAGGGUUGAAUGUGCUUGCCCAGCUGGUCCUGACCUCCUGUGCUCCGCCUUCUCUACGAGAAGAAUAUGCCUCUGGUGUCACUGGUCCUGGGAAGAUGAGAGACUCGUGGACAGACCCGGACUCAACCCUUAGCUUGAAGCCAAGUAAAGCCAGGCCCGGCCUGGAUGUGAUGAACCCCAGCAGACGUGUAGACAUGAGAAUGAGAAAUAAAUGCUUAUUGUUGUUUGCAA